rnacentral:tRNA from 1 species
AGUCAAGUGGCCGAGUGGAGAGGUAUGGGUCUGCAAAACCUUUUACGGCGGUUCGAAUCCGUCCUUGACGU